AACGCACAUUGCGCCCCUUGGUAUUCCAUUGGGCAUGCCUGUUCGAGCGUCAUUAACCCGUCAAGCAUUGCUUGGUGUUGGGUGUUUGUCCACGCCAUCGGCGUAGACUCGCCCUAAAAGCAUUGGCAGCAGUUUGCCGGCCUCUCGCGCAGCACUUUGCGCUCUUUGAGGUUUCGGUGGGCGUGACUUCCAUCAAGAUCAUCAUCACCAUCUUGACCUCGAAUCAGGUAGGGAUACCCGCUGAACUUAA
rnacentral:misc_RNA from 1 species